UGGUGGAGUGAUUUGUCUGGUUAAUUCCGUUAACGAACGAGACCUCAGCCUACUAAAUAGUUAUGCAAAUCUUUCUAUCCAAGGCGGCGCUGGCCUGUGCUGUUGGGCUUGCCUGGCGGUGCAGUUCGCUGGCGUGCCUAGUCAGAUUUGUAGACAACUUCUUAGAGGGACUAAUGGUGUUUAGCCAUUGGAAGUUUGAGGCAAUAACA
rnacentral:rRNA from 1 species